rnacentral:rRNA from 1 species
UACGAAGGGGGCUAGCGUUGUUCGGAAUUACUGGGCGUAAAGCGCACGUAGGCGGACUCUUAAGUCAGGGGUGAAAUCCCGGGGCUCAACCUCGGAAUUGCCUUUGAUACUGUGAGUCUUGAGACCGGAAGAGGUGAGUGGAAUUCCUAGUGUAGAGGUGAAAUUCGUAGAUAUUAGGAAGAACACCGGCGGCGAAGGCGGCUCACUGGUCCGGUUCUGACGCUGAGGUGCGAAAGCGUGGGGAGCAAACAGG